rnacentral:misc_RNA from 1 species
AAAAUAAUCCUACCUUUGUGAAUUUUGUUUGUUUGAAUAAUUUUUUUUUUUAAAAAAUUAUUGGAGUCUUUCCCUUUAGAGUUUGCUUUUGAGUUUGUAAAAGAAUUCGAAAACAUCUAAAGGGGAUGGUCAAUAAUUUUUUUUGAAAAAAGACAUUUUUUAAAAUUAAACUUUUUGUAUUCAUUUGUCUAAAAAUUAUUUUUUAUAAUAUAAAAACAACUUUUGACAAUGGAUCUCUUGGUUCUCGCAACGAUGAAGAACGCAGCAAAAUGCGAUAAGUAGUGUGAAUUGCAGAAUACGUGAAUCAUCGAAUCUUUGAACGCAUAUUGCACUUUUUUAGUUUACUAAAAAAGUAUGUCUGUUUGAGUAUCAGUAAAAUAUUCUCAUAAAAAUCAUUGUGUAUUUUAUGGUUAUGAGUGUUUUACAACGAUACAAGUUGUUUCACUUUAAAUUUUUUUUUAAUAUUGAAAUUUUUCUAAUUUUAAUAAUUAAAAUUGGAUAAAAUUUUCCCGUCAAAAGGAAUAACCUAAACAAUUUUAAAUGAUUAAUUUUAGCAAAAUUUCGAAAAAAGGAAAAUUUUUAUUAAAAUAACUUGAUCUCAAAUCAGAUAAGAGUACCCGCUGAACUUAAGCAUAUCAAUAAGCGGAGGAAAAGAAACUAACAAGGAUUCCCUUAGUAACGGCGAGUGAAGCGGGAAGAGCUCAAAUUUGAAAUCUUCAAGGUUUUACCUUGACGAAUUGUAGUUUAAAGAAGUGUUUUCUGCUGAGUUUUGGUAAAAGUUCUUUGGAAUAGGACAUCAUAGAGGAUGAGAAUCCCGUAUUUGACCAUUAUUUUCAGCUUUGUGAUACACUUUCAAAGAGUCGGAUUGUUUGGGAAUGCAGUCCAAAAUGGGUGGUAAAUUUCAUCUAAAGCUAAAUAUUGGCGAGAGACCGAUAGCGAACAAGUACCGUGAGGGAAAGAUGAAAAGAACUUUGAAAAGAGAGUUAAACAGUACGUGAAAUUGUCAAAAGGGAAGCGUUCGACACCAGUGUUGUUUUCUCGAAAAUCAAUUAAAAAUGGCUCGAUUUUGUAUUGCUUGAGACCUUAAAAGCUCACUGUACAUUUUUCGUGUCUUUUUUAAUGCACUUUUCGUUUAACAAGUCAACAUCAGUUUCUUUUGUUGUGAAAGGGUCAUUGGAAGGUGGCUUUCUUUUCGGAGAAAGUGUUUAUAGCCUUUGGCCUCUGCAAUCGGAGAGACUGGGGUCUGCAGCGUAGACUCUUCGGGGUUAGAUACAUUUGUGCUAAGUUAUAGCUUUUUAUAGACAACUUGUUGACUAUAAUUAGUCUUGUAGCUUACUCGCUUAUGCUAUUUUACCUACGCUUAGGAUG